rnacentral:lncRNA from 1 species
UUUAUGUCACAAAAAUAGCAAUCAAAAACUAAAAUAAUCAAAAUAGCAUUUUAUCUUUUGAAAAAUUUAAAUUUUUUUUUAUUUUUCAAAAUUUGAAAUUUUAUCCCAAAACCCCACUCCCCAACUCUAAACCAUAAAACCUAAACUCUAAACCCUAAACCCUAAAUCCUAAACCCUAAAUCCUAAACCCCACCCCUUAACUCUAAACCCUAAACCCUAAACCCUAAAUCCUAAAUCCUAAAUCCUAAACCCCACCCAUUAACUCUAAACCCUAAUGUCUAAAUUAAUUUACAGUUGGGGUAUAAGUGUAUAUUUAUCUCUUUUGAUAAAACAUUAAGUGCUAUUUUAGUCAUUUUUAUUCUUAGAGGCUAUAUUUGUGACAAAAACUUUUUUAGUGCUAUCCUAGUCAUUUUCUCUAUAACAAAUAAAUAUUUAAAUAAAUAAAAAUCUAAAAAAAAUAAAAAAUAAUUUUAUAAAUUUUUUCGAAUUAUACUAUUUCGAAAUUCAAAUCCUAAACCCUAUAACUCAGCUCUAAACCCUAAACCAUCAAUCCUAAACCCUAUUUUUUUUUUGAAAUACGAACCACAAACCCUAAACCAUCAAUCCUAAACCUUUUUUUUUUAAAUACGAACCCUAAACCAUGAAACAUCAACUCUAAACCCUAAACCCCGAAACAUCAACUCUAAACCCUAAACCCUAAACCUUCAGCUCUAAACCCUAAAACAUCAACUUUAAACCCUAAACCCUAAACUUCAACUUUAAACCCUAAACCAUCAACACUAAACCCCAAAGUAUCAACACUAAACCCUAAACCCUAAAAAGUAAACUCUAAACCCUAAACCCUAAAAAAUUAACCCUAAACCAUAAAACAUCAACGCUAAACCCUAAACCUUCAACUCAAAACUCUAAACUCUAAACCCUAAAUCCUAAACCCUAAACCCUAAACCCAAAACCCUAGAGUUGAUGUUUUAGGGUUUAGAUCUGAAGGUUUAGGGUUUACGUUUAGGGUUUAGAGUUGAUGUUUUAGGGUUUAGAUUUGAAGGUUUAGGGUUCGAAUUUCAGAAAAAUCUAGGGUUUAGGGUUUACUUUUAGGGUUUAGAGUUGAUGUUUUAGGGUUUAGAUUUGAAGGUUUAGAAUUUAGAGUUUAGAGUUGAUGUUUCGGGGUUUAGGGUUUAGAGUUGAUGUUUCAUGGUUUAAGGUUUAGAGUUGAUGAUUUAGGGUUUAAAGUUGAUGUUUUAAGUUUAGAUGUAGGGUUUAAGGUUUACGUUUAGGGUUUAGAGUUGAUGUUUUAGGGUUUAGAUUUGA